rnacentral:tRNA from 1 species
CGGGGCGUAGCGCAGCCUGGUUAACGCGCACGGUUUGGGACCGUGAAAUCGCAGGUUCGAAUCCUGCCGCCCCGA